CAGAGAAUAGUUUAUUAAAAAUUUUAAUUUUGGAGAUUAAAGAAGGAAGAAAAUUUCUUCUCUGA
rnacentral:tRNA from 1 species